ACGCUCGACACCUACGGGAGGCAGCAGGUUGGGAAUAUUGGACAAUGGAGGAAACUCUGAUCCAGUGACGCCGCGUGAAGGAAGAAGGUCUUCGGAUUGUAAACUUAUUUUGUCAGGGAAGAAAAAAUGACUGUACCUGAAGAAAAAGCACCGGCUAACUACGUGCCGGCAGCCGCGGUAAUCUGAGCGGGCUGGCAAGGC
rnacentral:rRNA from 1 species